UACGUAGGGAGCAAGCGUUGUCCGGAAUCAUUGGGCGUAAAGCGCGCGUAGGUGGCCUCAUAAGUCCGCUGUGAAAGUCAAAGGCUCAACCUUUGAAAGCCGGUGGAUACUGUGAGGCUAGAGUACGGAAGAGGCGAGUGGAAUUCCUGGUGUAGCGGUGGAAUGCGCAGAUAUCAGGAGGAACACCUGAGGCGAAGGCGGGUUGCUAGGCUGACACUGACGCUGAUGCGCGAAAGCCAGGGGAGCAAACGGG
rnacentral:rRNA from 1 species